UCUGCAGCAUUGAAGGUCCCCAAGAACACAGUGGCCUCCAUCAUUCUGCAGCAUUGAAGGUCCCCAAGAACACAGUGGCCUCCAUCAUUCUGCAGCAUUGAAGGUCCCCAAGAACACAGUGGCCUCCAUCAUUCUGCAGCAUUGAAGGUCCCCAGAACACAGUGGCCUCCAUCAUUCUGCAGCAUUGAAGGUCCCCAAGAACACAGUGGCCUCCAUCAUUCUGCAGCAUUGAAGGUCCCCCAGAACCCAGUGGCCUCCAUCAUUCUGCAGCAUUGAAGGUCCCCAAGAACACAGUGGCCUCCAUCAUUCUGCAGUAUUGAAGGUCCCCCAGAACACAGUGGCCUCCAUCAUUCUGCAGCAUUGAAGGUCCCCAAGAACCCAGUGGCCUCCAUCAUUCUGCAGCAUUGAAGGUCCCCAAGAACCCAGUGGCCUCCAUCAUUCUGCAGCAUUGAAGGUCCCCAGAACACAGUGGCCUCCAUCAUUCUGCAGCAUUGAAGGUCCCCAAGAACCCAGUGGCCUCCAUCAUUCUGCAGCAUUGAAGGUCCCCAAGAACACAGUGGCCUCCAUCAUUCUGCAGCAUUGAAGGUCCCCAAGAACACAGUGGCCUCCAUCAUUCUGCAGCAUUGAAGGUCCCCCAGAA